AGACUCACGGGUUCGGUCCCGAUCUCAGGCUCUCUUUCCGCCCUGGCUGUCAGUUCUCUCUUCCUUCAGUGAGGGGCUCACCAGCAUGGCCGCUUGCUACAUUAUUGUCUCUUCCUCCCGCCACAGAGGGAAAAGCUGAAGGGAACCGCGUUGUGCCGGGCGAUUUUCCCUCGCUGUUCUGUGGAGGGAUAUUGCAACACAUUUCCUGAUGUUCCUGAUAAAAGGUAGAAGAAUCACAGUGAUGCAGCUAAUCAUGAUCAUCAUCGUUUGCACACACCUACUUCAUCCUCCCAGCCCACAGCAACAUGCUGAGGAACACGGAGUGUGCUUGUUUGGCUGGUCUCCUGCUCUUUCUUGUGGUGCUGAGCUGCUCUCUGCAUCCUCCCAGAGCUCCAGGGGAAUUCCUCCUGCCCGGACAGGCAGGUCCACACACUUAUUCCAGCUCCUGGACUCUAAAACCACAGGUGCGUCUGCAACCUUGAUGUCGGCUGGUCUCCGCCUCUGAACCACCAUCCAGAGUGAUAACAGGGACCUCUGUCCUCACUGUCCUUCAGCUUCUGUGGCCGACUUCUUAAAUGAGUUCCAGUAAGUGCGUGUUACUGUGAAGAGACACAGGUCCAGCGUGGCUUCCAUCAGGAGUUCUGCCAAGCCCUGAUUAAACUGGACAAGAGAACCUCUGGGUGUUUUAAUACUGCCUUGGUGUCACCAUCACUGCCGGUCCUGUCCAGCAGCGCUUGAGUUAUCUUCCUGAGGAUGAUCUGGCACAAUUUACUGGACAGGAUGCCAGCCCCAGCAAGUUGAACACCAGGAAGACCAGCAGUUCUGCAAUAGCAGAGUGCUGAAAUACAGCAGCAGGGCUGCAUGAACAAAACAAAGAGAACUUCAAACAGCUUGCAGUGGAUUACAAUCUUACAGUCUGUCCCACUGUGCCCUUGUUUCUGUCAUUUGUCGGAUGAAUAGUCUGUCCAUAUCUGUUUAUUUAAAAUAUAUAUAUAGCCAAACCCUGGCCACUCUAAUGUUGCAGAAUAAUAUAGAAUAUUGAGUGAUUCAAUUUCAUCAAUUUGUCUGGUCAAAAGUCUGUAUGGUCUUUUCUUUAAAGAGCAUCAUUAAAAUAAAG